AGAGUUUGAUCCUGGCUCAGGAUGAACGCUGGCGGUCUGCUUAACACAUGCAAGUCGAACGCACCUUUCGGGGUGAGUGGCGGACGGGUGAGUAACGCGUGAGAAUCUGCCUAGAGGUCGGGGACAACCAUUGGAAACGAUGGCUAAUACCGGAUAUGCCUUACGGGGUGAAAGAUUAAUCGCCUUUAGAAGAGCUCGCGUCUGAUUAGCUAGUUGGUAGGGUAAAAGCCUACCAAGGCAUCGAUCAGUAGCUGGUCUGAGAGGAUGACCAGCCACACUGGGACUGAGACACGGCCCAGACUCCUACGGGAGGCAGCAGUGGGGAAUUUUCCGCAAUGGGCGAAAGCCUGACGGAGCAAGACCGCGUGAGGGAGGAAGGCUCUUGGGUUGUAAACCUCUUUUGUCAGGGAAGAACACAAUGACGGUACCUGACGAAUCAGCAUCGGCUAACUCCGUGCCAGCAGCCGCGGUAAUACGGAGGAUGCAAGCGUUAUCCGGAAUUAUUGGGCGUAAAGCGUCCGCAGGUGGCUAAUCAAGUCUGCGGUCAAAGACCGGGGCUUAACCCUGGAAAGGCCGUGGAAACUGAUAAAGCUAGAGUACCGUAGGGGUAGAGGGAAUUCCCGGUGUAGCGGUGAAAUGCGUAGAGAUCGGGAAGAACAUCGGUGGCGAAAGCGCUCUACUGGACGGUGACUGACACUCAGGGACGAAAGCUAGGGGAGCGAAUGGGAUUAGAUACCCCAGUAGUCC
rnacentral:rRNA from 1 species